UACGUAGGGUGCAAGCGUUGUCCGGAAUUAUUGGGCGUAAAGAGCUCGUAGGUGGUUUGUCGCGUUGUCCGUGAAAACUCACAACUCAAUUGUGGGCGUGCGGGCGAUACGGGCAGACUGGAGUACUGCAGGGGAGACUGGAAUUCCUGGUGUAGCGGUGGAAUGCGCAGAUAUCAGGAGGAACACCGGUGGCGAAGGCGGGUCUCUGGGCAGUAACUGACGUGGAGGAGCGAAAGCGUGGGGAGCGAACAGG
rnacentral:rRNA from 1 species